AGCUACCCAGUGUGGAGCCACAUUAAUAGGCUAUGUGCACACAGCAGCAGAUUAAACAGGGGUUGUUGAGCAAGGUGACGGGCCAGAGACAAGCAAGGCACAGCAGCCUGAGAAUCAGCAAGACCAGCUUCAUGACCAGAAAUGAUAAUGCAAAACCUCAACAGAGCCAAGACGGGAUGGUUCCUGGGUCCUGGCCAUCCCAGGCAAACCUCAGCUGAGAGGGCGCUGGGAAACGUUACGGCGAAUGUUCACACGUCUCCCGCUGCUGGAUCUUCCUUUAACCUACACAGUGGGACGGGACCAUCUCUAAUCAGGAUUUCCACAUGCCAGGAGUUAUAGCUUUAUGCCAUUUCUGUUAAGCUUGUCAUACCUGUCCACUCGUGUUCAUACUUCAUUCGCUAAAGCUAAAAGGUGGAAAACAUACAAAGCGAACAAAUGAGAGACAAUAAGAUGAUCCUAAACGUCCUGUCAUUGUCUUCUUGUUCACCUUCUUUCAAUAAAACAGCACUGGUAUGACAGA